UGCCUGCCAGUGACCAUGUGUUCAACGGCCGCGGUAUUCUGACCGCGCGAAGGUAGCGUAAUCACUUGUUUUUUAAAUAAAGACUAGUAUGAACGGCCGCACGAGGACCUAACUGUCUCCUUAGUCCAAUCAGUGAAACUGAUCUCCUCGUGCAGAAGCGAGGAUUUUACCAUAAGACGAGAAGACCCUAUGGAGCUUUAAACUUUUAUUAAUUAUUCUCUUCACCCCUCUAAGGAAUUAACAACCAAUUUAAUUUAUUUAAUAAAAGUUUUGGGUUGGGGCGACCAUGGAGAAAAAAAUAUCCUCCCUGAUGAAAACCUAACCAAGAGCCACAGCUCUAAGUAUUAAGACACUUAACUCCUAUUGACCCAUUUUAUGAUCAACGAACCAAGUUACCCUAGGGAUAACAGCGCAAUCCAUUUCAAGAGUCCCUAUCGACAAAUGGGUUUACGACCUCGAUGUUGGAUCAGGGCAUCCCAGUGGUGCAACCGCUACUAAAGGUUCGUUUGUUCAACGAUUAAAGCCCUACGUGAUCG
rnacentral:rRNA from 1 species